UUUUUGAGCCUAUUGAAAGUGUGUGCAUUUUUCAUACACUCCUAUUUUUUUAUGUGUGAUGAACUUAUGUGAGAUACAUCUCUAGAACUUGCGUAACGAUCUUUCGAAAUGUUUGUCAUUGAUUGCAUGAACUUGGAAAUGAUAGAGGCAUUAGGUUUACCACUAUGGCCCAAAUAACCAUGUUUCCCAAAAGAAAAAUGAUAUCAUUAGAUUGCCAAUUUGAGCCGUGUAUGUUGAGCCUUUUAUUUCUUAUCACCAGAUAUGUCUACC
rnacentral:lncRNA from 1 species